AAUUAAUAAAAUGACAUUUCAUUUUUUGUUAGACUUGUAGAAGACUGCACACUAGCCAUUGUGAGCUGCUAUUGUUACUUCAGAACCUUAGGUCACAGAAGAGGCACAUCUAGUCUAUUCCUGCAUCCCUGUAAUCCGUACUCAAUGAUCUCCAGGACUAUAAGGUCACAUGAUUAAUUCUGGCUGACUGCAGAGAGAUUCAGAACAGAAAAAUAGAGGCUUGUGAGCAAUGCUUGACUACCUGGUGAAGCUGAACAGAUCUUCCUCCUCACAAGUGAAGAAACUAGAGUUUGGAAAAACCACGCCUUCAUCAUUCUUCAGUCUUCAUUUGUACCUUGUUGCCACAGCCAUCAGCUUCAUUGGGCUUCCAAGAUGGAAGACAGCCUGUGGAAACUUCCCAUCGUGGCACAUGCCUCUAAGCCCUGCUACUGGGGUGGGUGAGGUUGGUGGAUCAUUUAAGCUUGGAUAUCCUUAGCUGUGGUGGACUAAGCCAAUUAGGUGUCUUCACUAGGCCUGCCAUUAAUGUGUUGAGACCUAGAGAGUAGGGGGCCAUCAAUAUGCUUAAAGAAGGACCCAGAUUGGGAAGGAAGGAGGGAGGAAAGGAGAGAAAGAAGGAAGGAAGGAAGGAGAAAGAAAGAAAGAAAGAAAGAAAGAAAGAAAGAAAGAAAGAAAGAAAGAAAAAGAAAGAAAGAAAGAA
rnacentral:lncRNA from 1 species